rnacentral:other from 1 species
ACACUCCUGCGGUGUUCGAAGCGCCGGAUUUUUCUUCGAGCCUUAAUUCUUGAUCGGGAUUUCGUCACUGGGUGCCGUGUGCCUGCCCGUCUUAGAGCGGGACGCCUGACGUGCCCAAACAGGAUCCCACCUGCUCCGCAGGUUCAAGAGAACCGGCAAAAACGGCACAGGCGGGAGUGUC